rnacentral:rRNA from 1 species
GCUGGAAUGCUUUGUGAUUUAAAGAUCCGUCGCCCAAGGAUGGGUCUGCGGCCUAUCAGGUUGUAGUGGGUCUAGAGUACCUACUAGCCGACGACGGGUACGGGUUGUGAGAGCAAGAGCCCGGAGAUGGAUUCUGAGACAUUAAUCCAGGCCCUACGGGGCGCAGCAGGCGCGAAACCUUUACACUGCGGGAAACCGCGAUAAGGGGACACCGAGUGCCAGCAUACAAUGCUGGCUGUCCACAUGUGUAAAUAGCAUGUGAUAGCAAGGGCCGGGCAAGACCGGUGCCAGCCGCCGCGGUAACACCGGCG